AUUGAACGCUGGCGGCAGGCCUAACACAUGCCAGUCGAGCGGAUGAAGGGAGCUUGCUCCUGGAUUCAGCGGCGGACGGGUGAGUAAUGCCUAGGAAUCUGCCUGGUAGUGGGGGAUAACGUCCGGAAACGGGCGCUAAUACCGCAUACGUCCUGAGGGAGAAAGUGGGGGAUCUUCGGACCUCACGCUAUCAGAUGAGCCUAGGUCGGAUUAGCUAGUUGGUGGGGUAAAGGCCUACCAAGGCGACGAUCCGUAACUGGUCUGAGAGGAUGAUCAGUCACACUGGAACUGAGAACCGGUCCGAACCCCUACGGGGGGCAGAGGUGGGGAAUUUGGGAAAAGGGGCGAAAGCCUGACCCAGCCAUGCCGGGGGGGUGAAGAAGGUCUCCGGUUUAAAAAGCACUUUAAGUUGGGAGGAAGGGAAGUAAGUUAAUACCUUGCUGUUUUGCCGUUACCAAAAGAAUAAGCCCCGGCUAACUUCGG
rnacentral:rRNA from 1 species